GACGAACGCUGGCGGCGUGCUUAACACAUGCAAGUCGAGCGAGAAACCUUCGGGUUUCUAGCGGCGGACGGGUGAGUAACACGUGGGUAACCUGCCUCAAAGAGGGGGAUAGCCUUCCGAAAGGAAGAUUAAUACCGCAUAAUAUUACAGUUUCGCAUGAAGCAGUAUUUAAAGGAGUAAUCCGCUUUGAGAUGGACCCGCGGCGCAUUAGCUAGUUGGAGGGGUAACGGCUCACCAAGGCAACGAUGCGUAGCCGACCUGAGAGGGUGAUCGGCCACAUUGGAACUGAGACACGGUCCAGACUCCUACGGGAGGCAGCAGUGGGGAAUAUUGCACAAUGGGCGAAAGCCUGAUGCAGCAACGCCGCGUGAGUGAUGAAGGUCUUUGGAUUGUAAAGCUCUGUCUUUUGGGACGAUAAUGACGGUACCAAAGGAGGAAGCCACGGCUAACUACGUGCCAGCCGCCGCCGUAA
rnacentral:rRNA from 1 species